rnacentral:rRNA from 1 species
UACGAAGGGGGCGAGCGUUUGUUCGGAAUUACUGGGCGUAAAGGGCGCGUAGGCGGCUUUGCAAGUCGGAUGUGAAAGCCCAGGGCUCAACCUUGGAAGUGCAUCCGAAACUGCAGAGCUCGAAUCCCGGAGAGGGUGGUGGAAUUCCCAGUGUAGAGGUGAAAUUCGUAGAUAUUGGGAGGAACACCGGUGGCGAAGGCGACCACCUGGACGGAGAUUGACGCUGAGGCGCGAAAGCGUGGGUAGCAAACAGG